AGAGCACUGACAUCAAAUUUUAAAGUCGAGAUGUGCCAUUCAUUCGAUUGCUCGGUAUGCAUAGGUCUUUUUGGCCAAACUUGAAUGGCGUCCGCCGCGUGGAAGUAAUUUUAUUUCGAGGGCAAACAGUGUGAAAAGGCUAAAGA
rnacentral:lncRNA from 1 species